rnacentral:rRNA from 1 species
UAGGGAAUCUUCCGCAAUGGGCGAAAGCCUGACGGAGCAACGCCGCGUGAGUGAUGAAGGUCUUCGGAUCGUAAAACUCUGUUAUUAGGGAAGAACCUAUGUGUACGUAACUAUGCACGUCUUGACGGUACCUAAUCAGAAAGCCACGGCUAACUACGUGCCAGCAGCCGCGGUAAUACGUAGGUGGCAAGCGUUAUCCGGAAUUAUUGGGCGUAAAGCGCGCGAAGGCGGUUUUUUAAGUCUGAUGUGAAAGCCCACGGCUCAUCCGUGGAGGGUCAUUGGAAACUGGAGAACUUGAGUGCAGAAGAGGAAAGUGGAAUUCCAUGUGUAGCGGUGAAAUGCGCAGAGAUAUGGAGGAACACCAGUGGCGAAGGCGACUUUCUGGUCUGUAACUGACGCUGAUGUGCGAAAGCGUGGGGAUCAAACAGG